ACUCCAUUUUGCAAACAAAACGAUAAAAAGUGAAGAACCCGGUGGCUGUCCACAGGCUCUCAGGCCUCAGGCCAAUAACAAUUCCGAAAAUCUGGGCCGGGAAAGGCGGGCCUCGGGGCCUUAGGGCACCGCCCCAAAUCUUCCUUUGGUAACUAGGCAAAGCCUGCAGCUGCGUACUGCGCAAGCGCGCAGGGGUGGUCCGACAUAGGCCGGCUGGUUACCAAGCCGGAGGCAGUACCAGAUUCGCCGGGCUGUUUGGCUGUUGGCUCCGCCUCGGCCGGGCCCCGCCUCACCGGAUCCCGCCUCGUCACCCCUGUUAGCGCGCUCCCCUGCAGCAUGGAGUGUUCUGACUUCAGAGGAGACUGAUAACACAACUGUGCAUGUGAUUUUGUGGAUGUUCCUACAAGAGAUUGACUGCAUAGGCCAAUGUGUGUGCAAAGAGGCGGCUGUACAUUUAGGGAAUAGCUUCUUGAAACAUGUGGAAGCAAGACACUUGUCUCCGUAUGCUCUGCCCUGUGGGAACCUGAGCUAAAGCUGCGUUGGAGGCGGAUAUCCUUGGCUGCUCCAGGUUAGGAAGAAGAGCAUGCUCUUCUCCACCUGGGUCCCGAUUUUCCAUCAGCACUGGAGGAUCUGCUACUGCCCAC